rnacentral:misc_RNA from 1 species
GUGGUACAGUGUAGUUGUUUACAGCAGAAGUCAGCUGUUGGAUGAUUGAUUUCUUUGUCUUCAUAGAAGAGCUCAUUUAACGAUAUAAUAGCUAUGUGCACAUAAACUCCUUUUUUCUGAUCAAGAUGACUUGCUGGAUACUGGUCGUUGUUGCUAUUUUGGCGGUGAGGGGGUUACAUGGGCUUGAUAAUGGACUAGGCUUGACCCCGCCCAUGGGCUGGCUUACCUGGGAACGAUUCCGAUGCAAUAUGGAUUGUGACAGAGAUCCGGAUAACUGCAUAAGUGAACAUUUGAUAAAAGCUAUGGCGGACAUUAUGGCAGCAAAUGGUUACAGAGAUGCUGGAUAUGAAUAUGUGAUUAUUGAUGACUGUUGGCUAGGACCAGAGCGUGAUACAAAUGGACGACUGGUUCCUGAUCCAAACAGAUUUCCAUCUGGAAUUAAGAAUUUAUCGGCUUAUGUUCAUAGCAAGAAUUUGAAGUUUGGUAUCUAUCAAGAUUUUGGCACAAAGACUUGUGGUGGGUUCCCUGGAAGUGAAUUUUAUAUGCAAACAGAUGCCGAAACCUUUGCCGACUGGGGUGUGGACUACCUUAAAUUUGAUGGCUGCAAUUCUAACCUUUAUGAUUUUCCUUCUGGGUAUGAAGCAAUGGGAUUCUUUUUGAAUAAAACAGGAAGAUCAAUAUUUUACUCCUGUGAAUGGCCAUUUUACAAAAUAGUUUCUGGACUUCAGGUGAGUGAAUUGUCAUGUUGUAAAUUUUGAAUUUACUGUUUGGGUGUAAAAACAAAACUUACAAUAUGAAAAAAUCGAUAGUCUAACCUUAAUACGUCUAACUACCUGUAUUCAUCAUAACAAUUGUUGACCUAGGUGCACUAACUAUUCAGCUGUAGAACUCUUGACUAUAAACUAAAAAUGCACAGAACCAAAAAUACGCUGUAACGUGUUUAAUCAUGAUGUUUUCAGGAUAUUUAAUUCAAUUUGUUUGUCAAAAGAUGUUUGCCAUGGGUAAGAUCUUCUUAUUUUUAAAUUGUCCUUUACAUAAACUUUCAACAUUGAGAAUCAUAUUUUGUACAUGAUAAUUAAUUUUUUGUAAAGGACAGAAUAACAAUUGAAAACAAACUUAUAAAAAUUCUGUUAUUCCAGACAAUGUGACCCUUGAUUUAUGAGGAAGUUAUAUGUCCUAAAAACGACUCAAAAUUAAAAAAUGCUUUUUCGACUAUAUCUUCAAAUAAAAAAAACGACAAUUCUCCGUACUUCAAUGUUCAUAUUUUUGCACUUUUCUCAGAAUGCGUGUAAAAUUAGUUGGAAGACCUAUAUUGGUUUUUGCAAUGUUUGUAACAGGUCGAUUUUGCAAAGGUGAGGAAGACUUGUAAUUUGUGGAGAAAUUAUUACGACGUUCAAGAUUCGUGGUCUAGUGUUCUUGACAUUGUCAAUUUUUGGGGAAGUAAUUCCAAAAUAUUUACAAAAUAUGCAGGCCCAGGCGGAUGGAAUGACCCGGACAUGAUUAUUCUGGGGAAUUUUGGAUUAAGCUAUGAAGAAGAACGGGUGCAGAUGGCAAUGUGGGCCAUCUUGGCAGCACCUCUUAUUAUGUCAAAUGAUUUGAGGCACAUACGUAGUAGUUCAAAAGCUCUUCUACUGAAUAGAAACCUUAUAGCCAUUAAUCAGGACAAACUAGGAAUUCAGGGAAUUUUAUUGCAGAAGCAAAAUGGAAUCCAAAUUUGGAGCCGGGAUCUUUCGUUUAAUAGAACAGCAGUAGCAUUUCUUAACGAGAAUUCAGAUGGAAUGCCAAGGUUCUUGAGUUUUUCUUUGGUUGAUCUGAAAUUGACAUCAUCAACGUACAACUUUACAGAGGCUUUUGACAUGAAAACUAAUAUUCUUGUAACAAGGCAAAGACCACUUAAAAUUAAAGUAAAUCCACAUGGUAUUAAUCUUUACAUUGCCAAAGAAAUGCAUCUUUAAAUACAAUACGACAAAUAAUUUUGCCAUCAUUACAGAACUGAUCAAAUUAUGAAAUACAUGUACAUAAUAUAAAUUUAUUCUACCAAACAC